rnacentral:rRNA from 1 species
CCUACGGGUGGCAGCAGUCGAGAAUCAUUCACAAUGGGGGAAACCCUGAUGGUGCGACGCCGCGUGGGGGAAUGAAGGUCUUCGGAUUGUAAACCCCUGUCAUGUGGGAGCAAAUUAAAAAGAUAGUACCACAAGAGGAAUAGACGGCUAACUCUGUGCCAGCAGCAGCGGUAAUACAGAGGUCUCAAGCGUUGUUCGGAAUCACUGGGCGUAAAGCGUGCGUAUGCUGUUUCGUAAGUCGUGUGUGAAAGGCCCGGGCUCAACCCGCGGACGGCACAUGAUACUGCGAGACUAGAGUAAUGGAGGGGGAACCGGAAUUCUCGGUGUAGCAGUGAAAUGCGUAGAUAUCGAGAGGAACACUCGUGGCGAAGGCGGGUUCCUGGACAUUAACUGACGCUGAGGCACGAAGGCCAGGGGAGCGAAAGGGAUUAGAUACCCUGGUAGUC